rnacentral:lncRNA from 10 species
GUGCAUUUCUGAGUCAUGUCUUUCAGAAUCCACCUUGUAAGUUGAACUCUGCCUGCCUCGUGGAUGCUGUCGGCAUAUCUCUGACUUCGGCUAAAGUAAAUUUCAAUUACUUUAUCUUUUGGCUCUUGCUGCUUUUUAAUCCCUUCCCCCCUGAUAAGGCACAACCACAUCCAUGGCUUUUCUCCUGUGUUGGAGGAUCUGGUCUCUUUGUGUCAGAGUGAUGUGGAUCACAGAUUGGGGCUAACAGCACAUGGUAUUUCACCUCCUUGCCCAGAGUUCCAUGGCCACAUGUGCCAUAUGACUGACUCACACUUUCCCCGAAUUACGUAACUGCUGCCUGGAGCCUUGUGAUAACCCCCCUGGGACCUGCUGACAGUGCUGGGACUAUUCCUCCUGUGAAUGGCUACACACACCCUUGAUGCUUGGGUUCUUCCGAUCUCAAAGACUGAAUAGAACGUUUAAGGUUCUGAAAUCUCCCACUUCCAAGGAUUCAACUUGCCAACAUUUACUGAGUGCCCAUCAGAUGCCAGGCUCAGUGCAAGAUGUCGUCAUUUAUUUCAACCGACUCUCAACUUGUUCAGUAGGUAUUAUCAUUAUCCUGUUUAAUAGAUGAGGAAACUGAGUAUUGGACCACGUAAAGGACUUUCUGAAAAAAUCAUCUGGCUAGCAGUGGAGUAUAAAUUCAAGCUGAGAUUGACUUGACUUCAGAACAGUGCAUCAUGUGUCUUUGUAGGCGUGACUCUGGUCAGUAGCUCCAUUUACACCGAACAGUCCCAUAUUUGAACUUUUCUUCCUACGCAAUAAGAUUUUAUACCUCAUCUUCCAGUAGAUGGAGUCCCAAGAAUGUCUGGAUGAGAAAAGCUUUGUGGGGGGAGGGGGGAAGAGGGGGAGGGACACACAUCUGAUUUCCAUCCAGUCUUUCCUUUUCCUCUUGCAUCUUGCCUUGUUUUCAAAGGAGAAAAAGGAGUCAGUGUUGUACAGUGAUGCAGAACAUUUUCUCUGGAUUCAAGUUGAUGGAUUCGAAUCCCGGCUCUGUCACUAACUUUGUGACUUUGGGAAAGAUACUUCUUCUAAG